AUGCAUAAGAAUACAACUGGUGGUAUGCAUAAGAAUACAACUGGUGGUAUGCAUACGAAUACAACUGGUGGUAUGCAUGACCGUACAAAUAUGAACAAAACAAAUAACACAGUAGAAACAAAACCAAUUAAUGAAUGUUCAAAUUCUACAAGAGAUAAUUUGAUAGUCGAAAAAAAUAUGCAUGAACUCGCAGAUGAACAGAUAGAAAAAUCUGAGAACGAUGGAAAUGAAAAUAUGAACAUCGACGAUAUUAUUAAAAAAGCCAUAAACAUUAGUAAUAUAUUUAAACAAAAAGAAAUAAAAAAAUUGUUAAAAGAAAAAAAAAAAAAAAACGAGUUAAGACAUAAUGUUAACACAAGCUUUGGUAACGGUUUUGUAUCUACUCCUUCUGCUGUCGCUGUCGCUGCUGCUGCUGCUGCUGAUGGUGCUGCUACUACUACUACUACUACUGCUGAUGAUACAAUUACUACUACUGGUGCAAUUACGUGUGGUGUAGAUUACAAAACAAACAAAACUUACAAAGACGACGGAAAAAUAACGAAAAAUGUAAAACAAGAGGAAAUAAACAAAUACAACACAACAAUUAAACAUGAACCAAGUAUAAAAAGCAGCGAAACGAAUUCCAAACCUACCUUAAACAUACACGAAAAGGAUGAACUAAAACCAUACAAACAUGCAUCAUAUGAAGUUCAAGGAUAUUACAAAAGAAAACGAAAAACAAAAAGCAUAAACGAGUUAGAAGACAUAGAAGUAAAAGAUUCUAGUGAUAAAAUUGUAUUAAACGAUGAAGACAUAUUAAAUAAUAAAACAUUUGAUAACAAUAAAAGUAAAGAACACACAGAAACAAUUAACCACUCUGAUAUGAAUAAAUCCAUUUUUGAUGUUAACAGUUAUAAAGAUAUUUUACUUUUACAUGGUAAAAAUAAUAAUAUUAUUGAAAACAGUUAUUUAGAAAAUAUAUUAAAAAAAGAAAAAAAUAGUAAUGAAAACAUAAGCAAAGAUAUAGACAUACUAAUUCAAAAUUAUAAAUAUGCAAACAUAGAUCCAGAUGGUUUUAUCACUUCUUUUUAUAAUGACAAGGUAACUGAAAAGGGUAGUUCAAAUAAGUUUGACAUGAUCGAGUCUGAGUCUGAGUCUGAGUCUGAGUCUGAGUCUGAGUCUGAGUCUGAGAUUAGCAUGGGAAAAUCCAGUACGAAUAUGCCAAAACAAACUGAUAACAUUUCAAAUAUUGCUAAAACUAGUUAUACAAGUGGAAAUGCAAUGUUUCAAAAUACAACAAUAAUGCCUGAGUUUAACAAUUUUACUAAUAGUUUUAUGGACCUGAAAACAUGGUUAAUACAAUUAGGGUUGCUCAAACAAAGUGAUAUACACCUAGAAAGUAACGAAAUAAUUAAAAUUUUUCUUAAAAACCCUAAAUUCAAAAGAGUUUUAAAUUUGUAUAAUAUCAAAGCAAAAGAUAUAACUAUACCCCUUUUUUACAAAAUAACGAAGUUGUUAUAUUUUGAAAGGCCUUUCCCUCGGAAAGAAAAAAGUUACAAACUAAGAAUGGAUUAGGGUGAGUCAAUUGGACAUCAUGACUAGGUAAGUCCAUUUUUUUUUUUUUUUUUUU
rnacentral:lncRNA from 1 species